AAGACCAUCAGCAUAAAAACUUUAAACACCCUAGUAAAGGGCUAAAUGGAAUCCCUGAAGGGCAGGUAGUGGAGAAGAGAGACAAAGAUAUUUAAAACAUACUGGAUGAAAGAUUUAGAAGCUCCAUGGAAACAAUAAACUUCAAAUAUUACAGAAAUAUGAUUAUCCUAAGAACAAGAAACAUGCAGAAAACUUCACCAAGGAACACCUUAAUCGAAUCCAUCAAAACCGGUGAUAAAAAGGAAAUCCUAAAAGUAAUAAAAGGGAAAAGAACAUGUUACAUACAGAGCACUAAAUAUAAAGAUGGCAUAAGAUUUCUCAUAGGAAACUUUACAAACAAGAAGUUUGCAAUAAAGUAUUUAAAAAAAGAAAAACUGUCACCUACAAGUCUACACCUGGCCAAAUUAUCUUUCAAAAAUAAACAUGAGAAAAAAUAUUUUUGAACAGAAAACAAAAUGAUCUCAAUUUGCAGAUGGUGUGAUCCUAUGUAUAGAAAAUCCCAAACAAUACAUACAAAGGCAAACACACAUACAUGCACACAGACACCAGACACACACACACACACACACACACUAUCAGAGUUAAUAAGUGAAUUCAGCAAACUUUCAGCAAACAAUCCAUUGUGAUGGCAAUGAACUAUCUGAGAAGAAAACUGACAAAAUGAUUUCAUUUAUAAUAGCACCUGUAAGGAUAAUAUGCCUGGGAAUAAAUUUGUUCAAGAAGGUGCAGUACUUGUACACAGACAACUACAGAAC
rnacentral:lncRNA from 1 species